UACAGAGGGGGCAAGCGUUGUUCGGAAUUACUGGGCGUAAAGGGCGCGUAGGCGGCCUUCUAAGUCGAACGUGAAAUCCCCGGGCUCAACCCGGGAACUGCGUCCGAUACUGGAAGGCUUGAAUCCGGGAGAGGGAUGCGGAAUUCCAGGUGUAGCGGUGAAAUGCGUAGAUAUCUGGAGGAACACCGGUGGCGAAGGCGGCAUCCUGGACCGGCAUUGACGCUGAGGCGCGACAGCGUGGGGAGCGAACCGG
rnacentral:rRNA from 1 species